UAAAAAUUUAAAAAUUAAUUUGAAAUUUUAUUAUUUUAAUUUUCUAGGAAAAAAAUGGACCUAUUUGAACCUAAAUAGAAAGUUGUGAGUUAAUGGGGACAAAAACUUGAAAAUAGAUUUAUUUUAAUAUAUGUUAACAGAUCAAGGGCAAAAUUGAGCUCUCAUCCAUAAAUGAAAACAUCAAUACUUUCCUAAUCAUUUAAAAUUAAUAGAAUUGUCAAAUUGAAAAUAAAAUUGGUCUGAUAUCUCAAAUUUGACAUGCUCAAUGUAUCAGCGAGUGAAAUCUGAAACAGGGUUUGCAGAAAUGUUUCUUUUAAGCUAUUUGUUUGUCAUAUUAAAAUUUAUGAACUUGUUUUGGUAGGCACCAGCAGAAAAGAGACAAG
rnacentral:misc_RNA from 1 species